UACGGAGGGUGCAAGCGUUAAUCGGAAUUACUGGGCGUAAAGCGCGCGUAGGCGGUUUGAUAAGUCGAUUGUGAAAUCCCCGGGCUCAACCUGGGAAUUGCAGUCGAGACUGUCAGACUAGAGUGUGGGAGAGGGUGGUGGAAUUCCCGGUGUAGCGGUGAAAUGACGUAGAUAUCGGGAGGAACAUCAGUGGCGAAGGCGACCGCCUGGCCCAACACUGACGCUGAGGUGCGAAAGCGUGGGUAGCAAACAGG
rnacentral:rRNA from 1 species